CCCUCCCAAAAAAAAAAUUAAGUUUUUAAAAAAAAAAAAAUAUUUUCAAUUUCAAUUCAAAAAUCAUUUUCUACUUUCUAGUAAAAUUAAAAGAUAUUUUCUCAAAAAAAAAAUUCAUUCAUAAAUCAAACACUAAAAAAUAUUUUCUACUCACCAACUAAACAUGAAAAAAUAAGUCAAAUAUCUAUUUAUUUUUCAGAAAAACAUUUUUUAGAAAAGCAUUUUCCUUCCUACCAAACACACCUGGAUUAAAAAAAAAAACAGACCUGAUUUUCAAUACACAAAUUCGAGCAAUUCCCUGCCCUAACGUUUGUUGCUUGUUAAAAAGGUCUACAUUCCCUCG
rnacentral:lncRNA from 1 species